GCCGAGUUGGUGUAGUCGGCCUGCACGCCUGCCUGAAGAGCAGGAGGUUCUCGUUCGAUGCGAGGGCUCGGCACCA
rnacentral:tRNA from 1 species